GUGGGUAUAGCUCAGCUGGUCAGAGCGCUACGUUGACAUCGUAGAGGUCAGUGGUUCGAAUCCACUUACCCACACCA
rnacentral:tRNA from 1 species